GCUCCUACCGAUUGAAUGAUCCAGUGAAGUGUUCGGAUCGCGGCGAUGUGGGUGGUUUGCCGUCUGCGACUUCGCGAGAAGUCCACUAAACCUUAUCAUUUAGAGGAAGGAGAA
rnacentral:ncRNA from 2 species